rnacentral:rRNA from 1 species
AACGAACGCUGGCGGCAUGCCUAACACAUGCAAGUCGAACGAGACCUUCGGGUCUAGUGGCGCACGGGUGCGUAACGCGUGGGAACCUGCCCUUAGGUUCGGAAUAACUCCCCGAAAGGGGUGCUAAUACCGGGUAAUGUCUUCUGACCAAAGAUUUAUCGCCUUUGGAUGGGCCCGCGUUGGAUUAGCUAGUUGGUAGGGUAAAAGCCUACCAAGGCGACGAUCCAUAGCUGGUCUGAGAGGAUGCUCAGCCACACUGGGACUGAGACACGGCCCAGACUCCUACGGGAGGCAGCAGUGGGGAAUAUUGGACAAUGGGCGAAAGCCUGAUACAGCAAUGCCGCGUGAGUGAUGAAGGCCUUAGGGUUGUAAAGCUCUUUUAACCGGGAUGAUAAUGACAGUACCGGGAGAAUAAGCCCCGGCUAACUCCGUG